CAAAUAUUUCCAAAAGAAAACAACAUUUUAAAAAGUCCACAACAAACAAUAGCAAGCUGUAAAGAUCCACAAGCAUCUUCUCCUGUCCUGCAUGGUUGCUGAUGGACCACCUGAGGCUCAGCAGAGUGGAGAGUGAUGUCAUGGUUGACCUAGCACCGGUGUGCCCAUAAAUGUUACAAACUAAAGCUUUAAAGGAAGAAACAGUGAAGCCUAUCCCAUGAAAAUAGUUCAACUGCCAGACAAUGAAUGAUGCCAAGCCUCCUUUUGAGUCUUGAUGUACANGGAUGCUUCUGGAAGAAAACUGAGUAAGAAGGAAUUGAGAGGAGC
rnacentral:lncRNA from 1 species